rnacentral:rRNA from 1 species
GAUGAACGCUGGCGGCGUGCCUAAUACAUGCAAGUCGAGCGAACGGACGAGAAGCUUGCUUCUCUGAUGUUAGCGGCGGACGGGUGAGUAACACGUGGAUAACCUACCUAUAAGACUGGGAUAACUUCGGGAAACCGGAGCUUAUACCGGAUAAUAUUUUGAACCGCAUGGUUCAUUAGUGAAAGACGGUCUUGCUGUCUCUUAUAGAUGGAUCCGCGCUGCAUUAGCUAGUUGGUAAGGUAACGGCUUACCAAGGCAACGAUGCAUAGCCGACCUGAGAGGGUGAUCGGCCACACUGGAACUGAGACACGGACCAGACUCCUGCGGGAGGCAGCAGUAGGGAAUCUUCCGCAAUGGGCGAAAGCCUGACGGAGCAACGCCGCGUGAGUGAUGAAAGUCUUCGGAUCGUAAAACUCUGUUAUUAGGGAAGAACAUAUGUGUAAGUAACUGUGCACAUCUUGACGGUACCUAAUCAGAAAGCCACGGCUAACUACGUG